rnacentral:rRNA from 1 species
GACGAACGCUGGCGGCGUGCUUAACACAUGCAAGUCGAACGGAAAGGCCCUGCUUGCAGGGUACUCGAGUGGCGAACGGGUGAGUAACACGUGGGUGAUCUGCCCUGCACUUCGGGAUAAGCCUGGGAAACUGGGUCUAAUACCGGAUAGGAGCCAUUUUUAGUGUGAUGGUUGGAAAGUUUUUUCGGUGUAGGAUGAGCUCGCGGCCUAUCAGCUUGUUGGUGGGGUAAUGGCCUACCAAGGCGGCGACGGGUAGCCGGCCUGGGAGGGUGGACGGGCACAGUGGGACUGGGAGACGGCCCAGACUCCUACGGGAGGCAGCAGUGGGGAAUAUUGCACAAUGGGCGCAAGCCUGAUGCAGCGACGCCGCGUGGGGGAUGACGGCCUUCGGGUUGUAAACUCCUUUCGCUAGGGACGAAGCUUUUUGUGACGGUACCUAGAUAAGAAGCACCGGCUAACUACGUG